rnacentral:rRNA from 1 species
CCUACGGGCGGCAGCAGUGAGGAAUAUUGGUCAAUGGGCGCGAGCCUGAACCAGCCAAGUAGCGUGAAGGAUGACUGCCCUACGGGUUGUAAACCUCUUUUAUAAAGGAAUAAAGUGAGGCACGUGUGCCUUUUUGUGAGUACUCUAUGAAUAAGGAUCGGCUAACUCCGUGCCAGCAGCCGCGGUAAUACGGAGGAUCCGAGCGUUAUCCGGAUUUAUUGGGUUUAAAGGGUGCGUAGGUGGAUUGUUAAGUCAGUUGUGAAAGUUUGCGGCUCAACCGUAUAAUUGCAGUUGAAACUGGCUGUCUUGAGUACAGGAGAGGUGUGCGGAAUUCGUGGUGUAGCGGUGAAAUGCUUAGAUAUCACGCAGAACUCCGAUUGCGAAGGCAGUACACUGGACUGCAACUGACGCUGAGGCACGAAAGUGUGGGUAUCGAACAGGAUUAGAUACCCCAGUAGUC